UUCAAUAAGAUUUAGACUCCUUGGUAUUUUAAACUGGCAGAGACCUUGCUUGUUUCCACCCUUGUUUUUUGUUGAAUUAAAAUAGGUACAAGAAUAAGUGCGGGGGAAAUCUCUCAAGCUACCAAACUCACACUUAUUCGAGAUCUCCCACCAACAUGUUGCACAAACAUCAGAUGGUCCAACAAGCAGAAGGUUGAGACAGAUGGAUUCCAGAGAUGGUUGGUAAAACUUGUGGAUCAACCAAGCCAUCUUAGACUCUCCUCGUUUCCCUCUUCAUCCUAAACAAUGGUUUGUGCAACACAACCCUUAAACUCCCUAAGUUCUUGAGUUUAAACAAAUUUUAUCUCACUCUAUAAAAGUAUACUGAAUGAACCUUUAUAUCUCGUCAUGUUGAAAAUUCCUUUCCUAUGGUUGGCUUCCAUAUUUUUUAUUCCUACUUAUAUUCCUGUCACUUGUGAACAAUUUAUCAUAGGGAAAGCAUGCCAUCUAAGUAGUUGGUGAAUAAGAUACGGUAUGAUGAAACAAACCUUGCUUCUUCCAGCAUAGUACUUGGAAAUUUUAUCUUGCAAAAAAAAUAGCUUGGCUCCUCAAUGAUAUGAUAAAUUCCUACCAAAGCCAUAUGUUGAUCUCAUUGAAAACCUUAUAUAUAUGCUACUUGUUUUUUCAUUAAGCUUUGUCAAACUUUUCAUACUUUCAUGAUCAAGAUCAUGUACACUCCACCUUUAUAUGCUAACUCCUACGCUAGAAGUUGCUCAAAACAUGCCAUCCAUCCCUUCAUCCUUCCAUUCCACAAAAUAAGUGCUUCACUCUAUAUAUGUUGAUCUAUCUCUCCAAUUAUCAUUAUAAAAGAGACAUGGGAUAUUGAAAAAAAAAGAGAAAGAAAGAAAAAAAUAUAUGGACACAUGAAGGUCCAAGUAUAGGAAAAGAAAAAAAAGAGUUGGACACGUGAAGGUCCAAGUAUAUGAAAAAGAGGAUAGCCAUGUCCUCAAAAUAUUCCAAAGGGAGAGAGAUCAUCUAAAAAGAAGUUCACAUGCAUCUUCCAUCCACCAUCCACAUAUCCAC
rnacentral:lncRNA from 1 species